rnacentral:misc_RNA from 1 species
UCCGGUUUAUCACCGGCAGUUCCCCAUGAGUCCCCGGCAUUACCCGCUGGCAACAUAGGGCAAGGGUUGCGCUCGUUGCGGGACUUAACCCAACAUCUCACGACACGAGCUGACGACAGCCAUGCAGCACCUGUCACUCAAUUCCCGAAGGCACCAAGUUAUCUCUAACAAGUUCUGAGGAUGUCAAGGGCAGGUAAGGUUCUUCGCGUUGCAUCGAAUUAAACCACAUGCUCCACCGCUUGUGCGGGUCCCCGUCAAUUCCUUUGAGUUUUACCGUUGCCGGCGUACUCCCCAGGCGGAGAACUUAACGCGUUAGCUGCGACACCGAGAGGCAACCCUCCCGACAUCUAGUUCUCAUCGUUUACGGCGUGGACUAC